ACUAUUUUGGCAGAAUCUAGUGCGAUAAAUUUAGAUUUUAUAAAUGUAAUUUUUAUUACAAAUAGUA
rnacentral:tRNA from 1 species